AGAGUUUGAUCCUGGCUCAGGAUGAACGCUAGCUACAGGCUUAACACAUGCAAGUCGAGGGGAAACGAUAUUGGAAGCUUGCUUCCGAUAGGCGUCGACCGGCGCACGGGUGAGUAACGCGUAUCCAACCUGCCCACCACUUGGGGAUAACCUUGCGAAAGUAAGACUAAUACCCAAUGAUAUCUCUAGAAGACAUCUGAAAGAGAUUAAAGAUUUAUCGGUGAUGGAUGGGGAUGCGUCUGAUUAGCUUGUUGGCGGGGUAACGGCCGACCAAGGCGACGAUCAGUAGGGGUUCUGAGAGGAAGGUCCCCCGACAUUGGAACUGAGACACGGUCCAAACUCCUACGGAGGCA
rnacentral:rRNA from 1 species